AACGCGUAUGCAACCUACCUAUCAGAGGGGAAUAACCGGCGAAAGUCGGACUAAUACCGCAUAAAACAGGGGCACCGCAUGGUGAUAUUGUUAAGAAAUUCGCUGAUAGAUGGGCAUGCGUUCCAUUAGGUAGUUGGUGAGGUAACGGCUCACCAAGCCGACGAUGGAUAGGGAACUGAGGGGUUGGUCCCCCACACUGGUACUGAGACACGGACCAGACUCCUACGGGAGGCAGCAGUGAGGAAUAUUGGUCAAGUGGGCGGGAGCCUGAACCAGCCAAGUCGCGGUAGAAGGAAGAAGGAUCUAUGGUUACGUAAACUUCUUUGCGAGGGAAUAAAGUGCAGGACGUGUCCUGUUUUGUAUGUACCCUGAGAAUAAGGAUCGGCUAACUCCGUGCCAGCAGCCGC
rnacentral:rRNA from 1 species